UCCAGACUCCUACGGGAGGCAGCAGUGGGGAAUAUUGCACAAUGGGGGGAACCCUGAUGCAGCGACGCCGCGUGAGUGAAGAAGUAUCUCGGUACGUAAAGCUCUAUCAGCAGGGAAGAAAAUGACGGUACCUGACUAAGAAGCCCCGGCUAACUACGUGCCAGCAGCCGCGGUAAUACGUAGGGGGCAAGCGUUAUCCGGAUUUACUGGGUGUAAAGGGAGCGUAGACGGCACUGCAAGUCCGGAGUGAAAGCCCGAGGCUUAACCAUGGGACUGCUCUGGAAACUGUGGAGCUUGAGUGCGGGAGGGGCAGGCGGAAUUCCUAGUGUAGCGGUGAAAUGCGUAGAUAUUAGGAGGAACACCGGCGGCGAAGGCGGCCUGCUGGACCGUAACUGACGUUGAGGCUUGAAAGCGUGGGGAGCAAACAGGAUUAGAUACCCCAGUA
rnacentral:rRNA from 1 species